UGUCAAGGUAAUAAAAAAAUUGCACCUCUCUAUAAGAGAAAGUAGGGGCAUUAUGGGAAAUUCACUCCAUCCAAUAAAUAAAAGUCCCAUCCCACCGUCUCCCCUUCAAGUGAGUACCCAAGCAGCAACUGCAACAUCACAGCACAGCAGCCAUUCAACUCCCUCUAGCUCCUUUUCUCUCUCUACCACCCUCCAAGAAGUCCAUCUCCGAUCCCCCUAUCUUUCUUCCCGAUGGCCCAGCUGGAUCAGGAGUAAUGUGAGGGAAGGAAAACCAAGACCAAAACCAAAAAAGAGAAGGGAUGAAAGAUAAGAGUGGAAGACGAAGGGGGGAAGACGAGAAUGGAAGGAAUGAGUGUUUGUAUAGCUGGAGCAUCUUCCGGUGGGGGCCUUCCCUGGGCCGGGGGCCUUAGGCGACCGCCUCAGUCGCCUAAGGCUCGAGCCGGCACUG
rnacentral:lncRNA from 1 species